rnacentral:rRNA from 1 species
AGUGGCGAACGGGUGAGUAACGCGUGAGUAUCUGCCCUUAGGAGGGGGACAACAGUUGGAAACGACUGCUAAUACCCCAUAUGUCUACGGAUGAAAGAUUUUAUCGCCUGAGGAUGAACUCGCGUCUGAUUAGCUAGUUGGUGAGGUAAUGGCUCACCAAGGCAACGAUCAGUAGCUGGUCUGAGAGGAUGAUCAGCCACACUGGGACUGAGACACGGCCCAGACUCCUACGGGAGGCAGCAGUGGGGAAUUUUCCGCAAUGGGGGCAACCCUGACGGAGCAAUACCGCGUGCGGGAGGACGGCCUGUGGGUUGUAAACCGCUUUUCUCAGGGAAGAAGACCUGACGGUACCUGAGGAAUCAGCAUCGGCUAACUCCGUGCCAGCAGCCGCGGUAAUACGGAGGAUGCAAGCGUUAUCCGGAAUUAUUGGGCGUAAAGCGUCCGUAGGUGGUUAAUCAAGUCUGCUGUUAAAGAGCGGAGCUUAACUCCGUUUAAGCGGUGGAAACUGGUUGACUAGAGAGUGGUAGGGGUAGAGGGAAUUCCCAGUGUAGCGGUGAAAUGCGUAGAUAUUGGGAAGAACACCGGUGGCGAAAGCGCUCUACUGGGCCACAUCUGACACUGAUGGACGAAAGCUAGGGGAGCGAAAGGGAUUAGAUACCCC